GUUAUUCCCUUUUGUGUUUGGUGUGAACGACAUGCACACUGCGAGCACUAACACUGCUCUUGUGUUUGCAGAUUGUGGCACACGGGUAUUCACUGGAGGACCUCCUGAGCAGUGCCACGAGAGAUGACCUGACGUACACUCAGAUCAGAGGUGGAAUGCUUCUCAAGCUGUGGGCAGCUAUCAGUGCUCACCGAAGUGGGCACUGAGCAGUGAGUUACCUGCAGUGUUCUGAUCCCUAUCUCUGGAUGGCAGCAUCCAGGACAAACUCUUCAUGGCAACACAGGCCUCAUAGAGCGGCAGCUGGAUGUGAUGGCGGUGCCCACAGGCAAUAUGUGGGCAAAAGGGCAAAAGAUCUGGAGCUGCUCCUACCCCUGGGGCCGCUCCGACCCCUGGAGUCAUUCCAAUCUGCUUUGUGCCAAGCGAUGCUGUUCCGUUGAGGGCAGAAGAGCAGAGGAGUGCCUGUGGAUUCGAUGCUGACAUGUACACACGCGGAGAAUGAGAACUUUAAAGGUGGCAGAAUUUUGGGGUGGGUGACCCAUCCUCGCUCAGUGCUGUGUACCAGAUACAACAACAAUAACAACUUGCACUUAUAUAACGCCCCUCAGGCAGGGCAGCGUCCCCAGACACGCUGUGCUUCCCAAUUGUCCACACACCCUCAACCUCUCCUGUUUUUUUUCCUAUAGUUCACGUCGUUGGACGAGGAUUGAAUGCUGCGCUGUGUUGCUAAUGAUGACAGGCACUUUAUACUUUUAAGUUUCAAGAGAAUCAUUCCGAGGUUUCAGUGGAUUUUGCCGCUGUUUUACCAAAGAAACUGACAAGGUCAAAAUUCUCUCCCGUGUGCUGAACAUUGGAGAGAAACAUGUAGCAAUCUAUUUUAUUGUUUGCAUUCAUUUGCAGGAUGAUAUGUGACAUAAUACAGGAUAUGAAAAUAUUUGAUCACAAA